rnacentral:rRNA from 1 species
CCUACGGGAGACAGCAGUGAGGAAUAUUGGUCAAUGGACGAGAGUCUGAACCAGCCAAGUAGCGUGAAGGAUGACUGCCCUAGGGGUUGUAAACUUCUUUUAUAAAGGAAUAAAACGAGGCACGUGUGCGUUUUUGCAUGUACUGUAUGAAUAAGGAUCGGCUAACUACGUGCCAGCAGCCGCGGUAAUACGGAGGAUCCGAGCGUUAUCCGGAUUUAUUGGGUUUAAAGGGAGCGUAGAUGGGUUGUUAAGUCAGUUGUGAAAGUUUGCGGCUCAACCGUAAAAUUGCAAUUGAUACUGGCAGUCGUGAGUACAGUUGAGGUAGGCGGAAUUCGUGGUGUAGCGGUGAAAUGCUUAGAUAUAACGAAGAACCCCGAUUGCGAAGGCAGCUCACUAAACUGUGACUGACAUUGAUGCUCGAAAGUGUGGGUAUCAAACAGGAUUAGAUACCCUUGUAGUC